UCUGGAGAAGUUAAAUAGGUCUAACAAGGAACCUAAAAUUCCUGGGAUAAGGGUUCGAUUCCUUUCUUCAGAU
rnacentral:tRNA from 1 species